AUUCAAGAUAACGCCGAGUGAGUAAUUGCUAAUCUUCCUGAUGUGCCUGGUAACUGACAUGUAAUCGUAACCUCACCCAGGAGGAGAUGGAGCGACGUGAAGUUUAUAUCAAGUUCAUAAUCUGUCCAAAACACCUCAUCUCAUCUACUUAUGGUUUUGAAAGUCUGGCAGCGAAUUGCUUUCCCUCCUCGAGCCCCACGGACCUGUGAGGAACCUGCUGGGAGGAACCUGCUGGGGACCACCAUCAGGUAGAACCACCAUCAGAUAGACCCACCAUCACCUAGAACCACCAUCAGAUAGACCCACCAUCACAUAGAAGCACCAUCACGUAGAACCACCAUCACGUAGAACCAUCAUCAGAUAGAACCACCAUCAGGUAGAACCACCAUCACGUAGAACCACCAUCAGGUAGAACCACCAUCACAUAGAACCACCAUCAGAUAGAAGCACCAUCACAUAGAACCACCAUCAGAUAGAACCACCAUCCACAGAAGCCUGUGGGGAGCAAGAGCACUACGACUUUAGGGGAGCGUAUUGUUGGUUUACGAUGACAGUAACAGUAAUGUGAUAUUUAAAACAACAAUAAUGAGGAUGGUGGCAGCAGCAGGGGUCAGCAGGGUCACGGCAGGAGGCAGGAACAGGGUCCAGAUUGAACCAAGAUUCAUGGAAACCUGUGAGGUGAGAAAGCACAAAUACUUGGAAGAAACAAAGUUAGUGAUGCGCAGUAAAGUUUACAGUAAUAGAAAUGGGAAUAUUAAUAGUGUUAGAAGUGAUAGUUUAUCAAGAAAGCUUACUUAUCAAAAUGGAUCAACUUCAUUUGACAAUUCUUGCUGAUGGAUUUUAUUGGCUGCGGAACAGGAGCUCUGAAGGAAAUUGCAUAAACAUUUCCGCCGUGGAUUUUCUGGUGUAAAUAAAGUUGAAGGUUUUAAAUCUGGCAACUUGUAACAAGUUUUGUGAGCAAACAAUUACAGUUCAGCUUAUUGAAAUGUCUCUUUCAUGCCUGCAAUAUUUUCCUAACCUUAAUCUCAAUGAACGUAUACCUGCGAAUGCAAACAAUAGCGGUUUGUUUCUUAAAGAUGCUGAUCUUGACGGAUUGAUUGAAAAGGAAAAGACCCUCUCAUUGUGUUUGCCCACAGCGUUUCCCCUCAGCUUUCCUCUUCGCGCUCCCAGUCCCACCUGGAGCGCCGCUGACGGAUAGAUGCAUUGACAGGAGACCCCCGCCAGGCUCCUUAAACACCCAUUGUUCUACACAAAGGUCAACCUCCGAGCAGUGGAUUGUUGUCAUGCAGCAGCAACACCAGAGGGAACGCAUGAGAUCAGAAGUGUGCAAGCAACACGGAAGACUACACACCCACAGAUUAAAAGCACUUUCAUUUUUCAAACAAUCGGUUUCUAAUUUGGUUUUGUGUACUAAAAACUAUCCUUGACUGAGGUGUUUAGUGGAUAAAUCAUCACGUACAUCAAACAUCCGAUCUGUCUGGAUCAGGAGACUUUAAUCAUCUUUAAAUCACCACAUGAAUUAUUACGUUUCCAUUGUGUGACCGAUCACCUGAUCUUCUGUUUAGUGGCCCUGUUGGGGGAUCAACAUCUGGAUGCUUGGAGGCUCCAGUGGAACUACAAGAUUGAUGUUUUGUUGGUUCGGGGGGAAAUGGCUGCUUGGAGGAGGGUCCCUGAAGUCUAAUUAUUCUUAGUUCUCUGAAUUUCAAUGCAGGCAAGGACGUUGUUUCUUUCCGCUAACACACUGUUAGCAAGGCCUCCAUGGACCCCCCGUGAGAAACCACCUUGCCCCCCAUGCUCUGACCUACGUGGUGGUUCAGCACACCAGGAAGGAUGACGCUUCCCUCCCAGUCUGGUUGUGUUGUAUAUCUUUAGUUCAUGGCGGGACUUUCAAUAUGAGCAGCAAAGAAGCGUAGUUAGGACCCCUGUAGGGGGGCAUCUAUUGCCGGCAGGGCAAAGAGUCGAGAAUGAUUAGUUCGUACCGAGCCACCUUGUGGUUUCCUCAGUGGGCCUUGUGGUCUCCUCAGUUGGCCUUGUGGUCUCCUCAGUGGGCCUUGUGGUCUCCUCAGUGGGCCUUGUGG
ensembl:lncRNA